GAACGGAAAGUGGAGUACCGCGUUUAGUUUCGACCUAAAUUAUGAUUUUAAUCUCUGUUCU
rnacentral:tRNA from 1 species